rnacentral:rRNA from 1 species
AAGUAGCGGAGCAUGUGGUUUAAUUCGAAGCAACGCGAAGAACCUUACCUAAGCUUGACAUCCCAAUGACAUCUCCUUAAUCGGAGAGUUCCCUUCGGGGACAUUGGUGACAGGUGGUGCAUGGUUGGCGUCAGCUCGUGUCGUGAGAUGUUGGGUUAAGUCCCGCAACGAGCGCAACCCUUGUCUUUAGUUGCCAUCAUUAAGUUGGGCACUCUAGAGAGACUGCCAGGGAUAACCUGGAGGAAGGUGGGGAUGACGUCAAAUCAUCAUGCCCCUUAUGCUUAGGGCUACACACGUGCUACAAUGGGUAGUACAGAGGGUUGCCAAGCCGUAAGGUGGAGCUAAUCCCUUAAAGCUA